GAUGAACGCUGGCGGCGUGCCUAAUACAUGCCAGUCGAGCGAACAGAUGAGGAGCUUGCUCCUCUGACGUUAGCGGCGGACGGGUGAGUAACACGUGGAUAACCUACCUAUAAGACUGGGAUAACUUCGGGAAACCGGAGCUAAUACCGGAUAAUAUAUUGAACCGCAUGGUUCAAUAGUGAAAGACGGUUUUGCUGUCACUUAUAGAUGGAUCCGCGCCGCAUUAGCUAGUUGGUAAGGUAACGGCUUACCAAGGCAACGAUGCGUAGCCGAACUGAGAGGGUGAUCGGCCACACUGGAACUGAGACACGGUCCAGACUCCUACGGGAGGCAGCAGUAGCGAAUCUUCCGCAAUGGGCGAAAGCCUGACGGAGCAACGCCGCGUGAGUGAUGAAGGUCCUCGGAUCGUAAAGCUCUGUUAUUAGGGAAGAACAAAUGUGUAAGUAACUAUGCACGUCUUGACGGUACCUAAUCAGAAAGCAACGGCUAACUACGUG
rnacentral:rRNA from 1 species